rnacentral:rRNA from 1 species
UACGAAGGGGGCAAGCGUUGUUCGGAAUUACUGGGCGUAAAGCGCGUGUAGGCGGCAAUGCAAGUCGGGCGUGAAAUCCCACGGCUCAACCGUGGAAGUGCACUCGAAACUGCAUAGCUAGAGUCCUGGAGAGGAAGGUGGAAUGCUUGGUGUAGAGGUGAAAUUCGUAGAUAUCAAGCGGAACACCGGUGGCGAAGGCGGCCUUCUGGACAGUGACUGACGCUGAGACGCGAAAGCGUGGGGAGCAAACAGG